rnacentral:rRNA from 1 species
GACAGAGGGUGCAAACGUUGUUCGGAAUUACUGGGCGUAAAGCGCGUGUAGGCGGCCCGGAAAAGUCGGAUGUGAAAGCCCUGGGCUUAACCUAGGAAGUGCAUUCGAAACUCCCGUGGCUUGAGUUCUGGAGAGGCAAGGGGAAUUCCACGUGUAGCGGUGAAAUGCGUAGAUAUGUGGAGGAACACCUGUGGCGAAGGCGCCUUGCUGGCCAAUUUCUGACGCUGAGGCGCGAAAGCGUGGGGAGCAAACAGGG